rnacentral:lncRNA from 1 species
AAAGUAAAACUCUAGUACAGCCAAAGCAUUAUCUUGAAAUUUAUUCAUUUGGCGACAAUAUUGGGUUCAUUUAAAUAUGCAAGUCAAAGGUUUGAACACUUGUAAAUAUUGUUAAAUACCAAUACUUAAGGAUGACAAUUGAAAGCAUUUAUAUGAACACUGUAUUCAUGACAAAGAAUUGUAUAAUUCUACUGUCUCAUUCGCAAUCAUACCACAUUUCUGAUUUUUAUAUAACAAAACAAUGCAAACGGGGAAUGUGCCAAAGAGACAACAACCCGACAAAAAAGCAGGAAACAGCCAAAUGCCACCCAGGGGUCUUUAACACAGCAAAAUAGAGAGAGAAAACAUUAUGUUGUAUUUGUGCUAUGGUAUCAAAAUGAGAGGCGGUGGGUACUGAGGGUAUAUUUAAACUCAUAAGUCAAAGACAUACUGAUAACGUCAUGACAAAAAAGAAAGAAGAAAGUUACAAAACAAUAACAGUCUUCAAAGCACAGAAUAAAAAAAAAUACUGAUCUUUUCUCAGCAUCUGGAACCAUUACCAAAAAGAGCUCUGCAAUAACCCGAGAAUUGAUUCAGAUGCUUAGAAAAGAUAAGCAGAUCCCGCUAAACAUUUGGCACCCUUCGUGUGGAUCGUGUUAUUACAAAAUAGGCACAUUCGAGGUAUUUAUAUAAUUGAAAGAAAAAGCCUUAAUUGCACUGACAUAUUGGUGUACGAAUUUUGUAUAGAUAAAACAAAAUUGUGUUUCCAGUCUUUGAAUU